UCGACCUCAAAUCGGGUGGGACUACCC
rnacentral:rRNA from 2 species